rnacentral:lncRNA from 1 species
CGAAAUUGCUUUCUGUAGAGUUGUUCCAUUUGAAAUGCAUUUAAUUGCAAAUAAAAAAAGGAGUGGAGAGAAAGCCGUGCGCCUCCUAAGCCUUUCUCAUCUGUUUGGACGCAGGGAGAGAGAGUAUUCAAACGUGGAGCGGCCCAGACAAUAAGAAGAAGCGGGCGUGCUCUGAAUAGCCCAAUCUCUGCGCAGGCCAAUCCGCUGGCGUCCCUCGGCCGGUAAACAGGGGCGGACCUCCCGCCGAAACAGAGAAAGAGCUCAGAAGAGUCGGUGUUUUCCUGCAGAAAGUUUGCGUAACUCUCACUUUGCUUCAUGUAGCAUUGCUCAGACGAUGCACGGACGCUCUUGGCCUUCUCCCGGAGGAUUGUGGGUAGAUUGCCGACGAUCCCGAGAAGAAGCGAGCGAGGUGAGACCCUUCAAACUUUCUUUGCCAUUCCUCAAUUCUGUUUUCCCCCCAAACAAAGAUUUAUACAUAUUUAUAUGAGCCGAUUGACGGGAAGGUGGUCCGGAGGAGGGGAGCAGAAGCGGCGGAACUGCAGAGAAUCGUCCUUCAGCGACUGUCCCGCUCAGUUUGUUUGGAGUCGAACUGUCGCCCAUCUCACGCUUGACCUUGGGCACAGUGACACGGGCGAGUUCUGAAGCUUCGAUUUGACACGUCAAGAUGUUGCAGUAAUGCGAGAUAAUUUUGGGUUUUUUGCCCUCCUCGGAGCAAUCUGAAGUAAGGAAAUGUGGCAGAGUCCUUCUCCAGAGAUAUAUAUAUAUAUAUAUAUAUAUAUAUAUAUAUAUAUAUAUAUAUAUAUAUAAUCCAUCUAUCUG